UACGUAGGGGGCAAGCGUUGUCCGGAAUCAUUGGGCGUAAAGCGCGUGUAGGCGGUCCGGUAAGUCCGCUGUGAAAGUCGGGGGCUUAACCCUCGGAUGCCGGUGGAUACUGUCGGGCUUGAGUACGGAAGAGGCGAGUGGAAUUCCUGGUGUAGCGGUGAAAUGCGCAGAUAUCAGGAGGAACAACGGUGGCGAAGGCGGGACUCUGGGCCGAUACUGACGCUGAGGAGCGAAAGCGUGGGGAGCAAACAGG
rnacentral:rRNA from 1 species